rnacentral:rRNA from 1 species
UACAGAGGUCUCAAGCGUUGUUCGGAUUCAUUGGGCGUAAAGGGUGUGUAGGUGGCGCCGUAAGUCGGGUGUGAAAUUUCGGAGCUUAACUCCGAAACUGCAUUCGAUACUGCGGUGCUUGAGGACUGGAGAGGAGACUGGAAUUCAUGGUGUAGCAGUGAAAUGCGUAGAGAUCAUGAGGAACACCGGUGGUGUAGACGGCUCACUGGACCGUAACUGACGCUGAGGUGCGAAAGCGUGGGGAGCGAACGGG